rnacentral:rRNA from 1 species
UACGGAGGGUGCAAGCGUUAUCCGGAUUCACUGGGUUUAAAGGGUGCGUAGGCGGGCAGGUAAGUCAGUGGUGAAAUCUCCGAGCUUAACUCGGAAACUGCCGUUGAUACUAUUUGUCUUGAAUAUCGUGGAGGUAAGCGGAAUAUGUCAUGUAGCGGUGAAAUGCUUAGAUAUGACAUAGAACACCAAUUGCGAAGGCAGCUUACUACACAACGAUUGACGCUGAGGCACGAAAGCGUGGGGAGCAAACAGG